UACGUAGGUGGCAAGCGUUGUCCGGAUUUAUUGGGCGUAAAGCGCGCGCAGGCGGUCUUUUAAGUCUGAUGUGAAAUCUCGUGGCUCAACCACGAACGGUCAUUGGAAACUGGGAGACUUGAGUACAGAAGAGGAGAGUGGAAUUCCACGUGUAGCGGUGAAAUGCGUAGAGAUGUGGAGGAACACCAGUGGCGAAGGCGGCUUACUGGUCCGGUUCUGACGCUGAGGCGCGAAAGCGUGGGGAGCAAACAGG
rnacentral:rRNA from 1 species